ensembl:lncRNA
AUGAUCAGCCCUGCCCAGGUACAUUUGUUUCGAAUAUUUUUGAAUCAACAUUUACUCAUCAAAUGUUCUGGUCUGAAUCUUAUUUUAAAUGAAAUGAAGACGGCCAUCUUGUGCCCAAACGAAGCCAGAAAGCUGUCCACUGAUGAUCUCAUCGGCCAAAUGAGGGGUUUUGACCAAGUGAUGCUCUUGAAAGGAAUGAAAGAAGAGGAUGUGGUAAAUUGUCUUCAAAGAAAAAGCUUCUCAAAAGGUCUUAAAACAGCUUGAAGAAUGGUAUGUGUCCAGUACUUCAAGGGUCAUAGUUGUUCACACUGCUAAAAUCACACAGAACAUUAAACUGUCUGACUGUCCAUUAAACAACUUCAUCUGAAUUGUUUGUGUUUUUUGUUUUACUUUGACCAGGUCUGGGAACUGUCUGAAAAUGGGAUUUUAGGACUGAGAGAUCCUCUGGCUGAGAAAAAGCUACAUCACAUCAGUGCUGGAUAUCAACCACACACUGUUUACAGACACGAGAGAAGAAGAAGAUCACGAUGGGGAAAUGAAACCAGUUUAGAUGUGAUGAUAAGGAAUCAUUAUUUUCUGAAACAGUAUCACAUGUCUUAUAUGUAUCACAUGAUCUGUAUCACAGUUGCCUGGAAGGGAUUGUUUGACUUUUAAGGACAUUUCAUUACUCAUCUGUGUGAACUGAUUAAUUUAUGAUAUUAAUGAAUUUUUGAUGAUCCAUUAUUAUUUUCCUUGAAUCGUAUUUGUCUUGAUGCUACUUUAUCAACUUUAUAGUCUAUGCUUCAAUAAAAUUAAUAUGAUGAAUAUUGUGUAUUGAAAAUUCUUGGUAAAUUCAUAAUUUUACUAGGUAGGCUCAUAUGUGUUUAUUUUAUACUUGGAAAAACUACGUUAUUAAUUACCGGGAUUAUUUUUACUUAAGACAUAAACAUUUUUGAUCAGAUUAAUGACAUUGGGAACAACAAUACACCAGAAAGUUAUUAUUGUAUAUAUUUAGUAACAAAUAUGCCAUUUUUUUUUUUGUGAAAUAAAGGGAGUUACAAGAUGAAUUAUUUUGCAUUACAAGAUGCAUGGGCCAUGGGCUUUAUUGCUACAAACACUUGAGGAAUAACUGAGAAUGUAGCAGGAAUAAUCAACGUGGACCUUGUACUGCAUUAAAACCAAGAGCAUGCACAUUACUAAUGUCCAGCACGUGAGGAGCAAGAUAAGGGGGUGAGGACGACAUUUUUUACACUGAUUUUUGCUAAUUAGUUUAUAUAUAUAUACAGUAUUCUUAGUACUGCAUGAAUUUGUCCUUGUGUAAUAAGUGAAGUAUCACAAUGUGUAUAAAUUGUCCUUGAUUACUGCUUAACAGUGGGGAAUAGAUAACGGCAAGUUGUUGCAGUUUCAUCCAUUAUAUUUAUUGCCGUUUACUUCAAAAAUAAAAGAAAUUAUUAAUUAAAUUAUUUUUAUUAUUAAAUCAUUUUUUUCUAAUUUUUCCAUGUUUCAUCAGAUGGCCUCACAAUGUCCUGUCAAAAGCUAUACUAGCCAUGACAUAAGAAUAGAAAAGGGUGGACUGUGAAAACUGUCAGAUAUAAAUGUGGCUCAGCUCAGUUUGUUGUCCAUGAUGAGGAGAAUACAUACAUGUAGGUUUUACUGCCCUUCUACCCCCAGGGGCCCAGUAGCACCCCCCGGAAGAGCCAAAAACUGUACAUUUCAAAUGGCUGUAAAUCAGAGUCCAAUUAACGAAUCAAAGAGAAAAUCGGCAGGAUUACUACUUAUGCUAUGCUGAUAAAAUAAUGUUGGGCACAGUUUUCAGAAAUAAAUGGAAAGGUGUCAUAAAGGCAUUUUAAAUAUUGCUCACUGUAAAAUACCAAAUUUCACUCUGUCUUUCAAUUAUAUUAUAGAGGUUUACACAAUGAAAAUAUUUAGAUAUCCAGUUUUCCAUUAAAUAUAUUAUUUAUUUCAUUUCGUUAAUAAAAAGUUUUAAACUACAUUACCCACAAGCCUCUGUCGUUCUAUCUAUGGAAAGGGAAAACUUGGCGCUUUUCUUUGUAGUUCAUUGAAGUUAUGCUUAGGGCUAGGGUUAGGAUCUCGCUGAAGAGGUAAUUUUUCUCAACAUAGCAAUACUUCAUUGUUGACUUAAUAUAUUACUAAUGUGAUAAUAGCAGCAAAACAUACUUUUUAACAUGAUAUGCUGUUUAAUAUGGGUUAAAAGAUAGUCCAACCACAGACAGUCCUGCGGUGACAAGGGAAAUUCACAGCCAAUGACAUCAAAGCUGAACAGCGGCGUCACACUUCCUUAACCAUUUAUGGUCAUUUAUGACAAAUGUCUUCCGUUUUUCAGCUGAAGGGAUAGAUUGGUUAACAAUCAAUAAAAUUUGCUACCUAUUAGAUUGUGUUUUAUUAACGUCUACACCUUCCUCCAACAAUAAUGCAAAUGCUCUAAUUAUUGUUGUUCAGCUUGACAAAAAUUGGCCAAUAUUGAUGUGCACAUGCCCAGCAUUCGCAGUUGGAUCCCAUCUA